rnacentral:rRNA from 1 species
UCUCACUGUGAGGCAACCGUUCUGUCCCAUCUUGUCUGAUUUUGGAAGCUAAGCAGGGUUGGGCCCGGUUGGUACUUGGAUCUGAGACAGUCUGGGAAUACCGGGUGCUGUAAGCC